CUGGCGGAAUGCUUUACACAUGCAAGUCGAACGGCAGCACGGACUUCGGUCUGGUGGCGAGUGGCGAACGGGUGAGUAACAUAUCGGAACGUAUCCAAUAAUGGGGGAUAACUAAUCGAAAGGUUGGCUAAUACCGCAUACGCCCUACGGGGGAAAGCAGGGGAUCUUCGGACCUUGCGUUAAUGGAGCGGCUGAUAUCUGAUUAGCUAGUUGGUGAGGUAAAGGCUCACCAAGGCGACGAUCAGUAGCUGGUCUGAGAGGACGACCAGCCACACUGGAACUGAGACACGGUCCAGACUCCUACGGGAGGCAGCAGUGGGGAAUUUUGGACAAUGGGCGCAAGCCUGAUCCAGCCAUUCCGCGUGAGUGAAGAAGGCCUUCGGGUUGUAAAGCUCUUUCGCAAGGGAAGAAAACUUACUUUCUAAUAAAGAGUGAGGUUGACGGUACCUUGAUAAGAAGCACCGGCUAACUACGUGCCAGCAGCCGCGGUAAUACGUAGGGUGCGAGCGUUAAUCGGAAUUACUGGGCGUAAAGCGUGCGCAGGCGGCUUUGUAAGUCAGAUGUGAAAUCCCCGAGCUCAACUUGGGAACUGCGUUUGAAACUACAAGGCUAGAAUAUGUCAGAGGGGGGUAGAAUUCCACGUGUAGCAGUGAAAUGCGUAGAGAUGUGGAGGAAUACCAAUGGCGAAGGUAGCCCCCUGGGAUAAUAUUGACGCUCAUGCACGAAAGCGUGGGGAGCAAACAGGAUUAGAUACCCUGGUAGUCCACGCCCUAAACGAUGUCUACUAGUUGUUGGUGGAGUAAAAUCCAUGAGUAACGCAGCUAACGCGUGAAGUAGACCGCCUGGGGAGUACGGUCGCAAGAUAA
rnacentral:rRNA from 1 species